CGGGCGAAGGGGGAGAGCCAGAGACUCCUCGGCGCUGAGCGCGGCGGCGGCCCGGGCAGCCCCACGCCCCUGCCUCGCGCGCCGCCCGCGCCAUGAAGCACAUCCCGGUCCUCGAGGACGGGCCGUGGAAGACCGUGUGCGUGAAGGAGCUGAACGGCCUUAAGAAGCUCAAGCGGAAAGGCAAGGAGCCGGCGCGGCGCGCGAACGGCUAUAAAACUUUCCGACUGGACUUGGAAGCGCCCGAACCCCGCGCCGUAGCCACCAACGGGCUGAGGGACAGGACCCAUCGGCUGCAGCCGGUCCCGGUACCGGUGCCGGUGCCAGUCCCAGUGGCGCCGGCCGUUCCCCCAAGAGGGGGCACGGACACAGCCGGGGAGCGCGGGGGCUCUCGGGCGCCCGAGGUCUCCGACGCGCGGAAACGCUGCUUCGCCCUAGGCGCAGUGGGGCCAGGACUCCCCACGCCGCCGCCGCCGCCGCCGCCGCCGCCUCCUGCGCCCCAGAGCCAGGCAACUGGGGGCCCAGAGGCACAGCCUUUCCGGGAGCCGGGUCUGCGUCCUCGCAUCUUGCUGUGCGCACCGCCCGCGCGCCCCGCGCCGUCAGCACCCCCAGCACCGCCAGCGCCGGAGUCCACUGUGCGCCCUGCGCCCCCAACGCGCCCCGGGGAAAGUUCCUACUCGUCAAUUUCACACGUAAUUUACAAUAACCACCCGGAUUCCUCCGCGUCGCCUAGGAAACGACCGGGCGAAGCGACUGCCGCCUCCUCCGAGAUCAAAGCCCUGCAGCAGACCCGGAGGCUCCUGGCGAACGCCAGGGAGCGGACGCGGGUGCACACCAUCAGCGCAGCCUUCGAGGCGCUCAGGAAGCAGGUGCCAUGCUACUCGUAUGGGCAGAAGCUGUCCAAACUGGCCAUCCUGAGGAUCGCCUGUAACUACAUCCUGUCCCUGGCGCGGCUGGCUGACCUCGACUACAGUGCCGACCACAGCAACCUCAGCUUCUCCGAGUGUGUGCAGCGCUGCACCCGCACCCUGCAGGCCGAGGGACGUGCCAAGAAGCGCAAGGAAAGUUCUUCUGCACGGCCUUGACUGACUCCGAGGUUUGCAAACAUCCACUGGCUUCAGUGAAGGAGGGGUUUGACCGCUGGCCCUACCUUGCUCCUGACCUGGGGCCUGUGGGGCAGCUGUCUGCACAGCACGGCUGAGGCCUGUGCCAGUCCCCUCCUCUCUGGUGAGCAGCCUUGAGAAAUACAGAAAGGACUGGGCGGAAUCCACAGCAGCAGCCAGCAACGGUGGUCCUCAGCUUUCCCCUAGAGUUAGACUGUAAGCUGCCGCAGUGCCUGGGACAGGACUGGCCCCUAUUAGGAACUAAUACAUCUUUGUUGAAUAAAUGACUUUUUCUCCCCAUUCUUGGUCCCCAGGCCAACUGUCCUGGCUCACUAAAGGCUCUGGCCAUAACUGAAACUCUUAGACACUCGGGACCUUGAAGGGCCCUCCAAGCCCGGACACAGCACUAUCCUCGAUUCAUGCCAUGUUCCCGCCCCCCGCAAAUAGCAGCCAAUUCCAACUGCUCAUAAAUUUCCUGCCUGUCACCCAUGGCGCCCAGGCCAGGCAGGCAGGAGGUGCUGGAGGCCGACUGGUCCAUACCUGCUUCCAGGUCCCUGGGGAGCUUGGAGGCCAGAAGCCCAGGCUUUGCGCCUGUGCCCAGAAUAACCUCUGCAAAGUCUGGCCCUUGGAGAAGAUGUGAAAGCAGAUCUGUCAAACGCAAGGAUGUCCAGGCUUGAGUGUUAAAGAAAACACCAGUGCAGCUUAUGAUGCAGCUUGUACAGCGUAAUUCCACUUUUCGUAAAAUACUGUAUGACUUUUUGGAGCCUUUGACAUGCUAAUACAUGCAGUGACUUUCCAAGUGGGACCAAGGAGUGACUGGCUGCAGGCAAGACCAAGGCCACCACUGUGGGCCCUCCUUCCAGUCAGGCCUGAGGACAAGGUGAGCUCGCUGAGUCCAGCCUCGUGGUCUUCUCCAAGAUGCCGCCAGACGCCCAGCCUACAGCCUCUCAGGGUCGGAUCGGAGCACGCCUGCCUCCCUCUCCCCUCCGCCCUCACCCAGCCACUCCGAGGCUGCUUCGCACUUUGCCCUCUGCCUGGUGGGGAGGGGAGAGCUCAGCCCCCCACUCACUCAGACCCCAAGGCCCACUGUCCAGCUGCAGAAGUUCGUUGCCAAAGAUUGGACAGAGACACCGAAGGAAAUGGGGUGAUGAAACCCCACAGCGAAAAGCCACACCAUUGCUCUGUGACUUUUGCUCCUCCUGUUGCCUGAGCCCCAUCUCAAGCCAAAGAUGAAUCAGUGGUUCUGCUAGGAACUCAUGGAAGGGAUGGGCAUUUGAUGACCCCUGGGGGUCAUCUUGGCCCUCUGACCUGGCGCUCUCUCUCCACUGGGCCUUGCACUGGCUGAGUGCAAGACAAGCCUUAGGGGCUGUGAGAGGGAGGCUGGGGUGCCUGGGCGGGGCCGAGAGUGGGGCCUGAGAUCCCUGCCCACUCUCUCCCCUUCAUUGGCUGCCCAGGCCACUGGCCCCAGUUCUCAGUGUCCCCUGGGUCCAGGCUCCUUGGGCCCUAAGCAUCACCAGAAGGGAGUAAGCAGGGAGAGAAGCAAUAUUACUCCCUCCCCUACACCAGGGACUUGCCCCAGGGCAGCUACCUGUGGGUCUUUGCUCCCGCAGCCAGCCUCUCCUCACUGUGACCCACCCCCAUGGGCCCCCAUCCCAGGCAGCCAGCACCAUGGGCAGGCCCUGCCAUGGACAGAAAAAGAGUUUUUCUCUUGUUCAGCCUGCCCGUGGCCUGAGGAAGGAGUAGAGGCUGGGUUGGCUGGAGCCGUCCUACUGGGCAAGAUGGCACCCCACUUGGAGGGCGGUGGUCUGUUACAGGGUGUGCAGGGGCAGAGAAGGAAGGGACCAGGGGACUGGGCCAGUAUGUGGAGGAUGGGGGCUGCGUGUUCAAAGCCAAGGCCCGCCCCUUCCUUGUGCUCAAAUGGCCAAAGCUGUUCACGUCUGUGCUCAACCAUCUGCUUCAAAUUGAAGUAAAAGCCCCAAAAUGUCAAGAAAA